GGAGAGUAAACUAAAUAAGUUACCAAGCUCAUGACUUGGGUAUAGGCUUGUCCUCCUCCUU
rnacentral:tRNA from 2 species